AUUGAACGCUGGCGGCAGGCUUAACACAUGCAAGUCGAGCGGGGUGAUGGUGCUUGCACUAUCACUUAGCGGCGGACGGGUGAGUAAUGCUUAGGAAUCUGCCUAUUAGUGGGGGACAACAUCUCGAAAGGGACGCUAAUACCGCAUACGUCCUACGGGAGAAAGCAGGGGAUCACUUGUGACCUUGCGCUAAUAGAUGAGCCUAAGUCGGAUUAGCUAGUUGGUGGGGUAAAGGCCUACCAAGGCGACGAUCUGUAGCGGGUCUGAGAGGAUGAUCCGCCACACUGGGACUGAGACACGGCCCAGACUCCUACGGGAGGCAGCAGUGGGGAAUAUUGGACAAUGGGGGGAACCCUGAUCCAGCCAUGCCGCGUGUGUGAAGAAGGCCUUAUGGUUGUAAAGCACUUUAAGCUAGGAGGAGGCUCUUUUGGUUAAUACCCAAGAUGAGUGGACGUUACUCGCAGAAUAAGCACCGGCUAACUCUGUGCCAGCCGCCGCAGUAAGAC
rnacentral:rRNA from 1 species